AUUGAACGCUGGCGGCAUGCCUUACACAUGCAAGUCGAACGGCAGCACGGGAGCAAUCCUGGUGGCGAGUGGCGAACGGGUGAGUAAUAUAUCGGAACGUGCCCAGUCGUGGGGGAUAACGCAGCGAAAGCUGUGCUAAUACCGCAUACGAUCUAAGGAUGAAAGCGGGGGAUCGCAAGACCUCGCGCGAUUGGAGCGGCCGAUAUCAGAUUAGCUAGUUGGUGGGGUAAAGGCCCACCAAGGCGACGAUCUGUAGCUGGUCUGAGAGGACGACCAGCCACACUGAAACUGCGACACGGUCCAGACUCCUACGGGAGGCAGCAGUGGGGAAUUUUGGACAAUGGGCGCAAGCCUGAUCCAGCAAUGCCGCGUGCAGGAUGAAGGCCUUCGGGUUGUAAACUGCUUUUGUACGGAACGAAACAGCCCUUUCUAAUACAGGGGGCUAAUGACGGUACCGUAAGAAUAAGCACCGGCUAACUACGUGCCAGCAGCCGCCGCCGUAA
rnacentral:rRNA from 1 species